GAGUCGGUUUCAAAAACAGCCGCUCAUUGGAGAGAAGCCGCUAUUUGCUCUUUCUUUCCCUCAUCCAUCACCGUCUCUGCACCUCCCCAAAGUUUCUACGCUCUGCUAGCUCCUCUGCUUCUUCUGCUCCCUCUGCUCUGCCAGAUCAGCGUAGCGACACGAGCAUUCUCCACCAUGCCCGCCGCAAGUUCUUCUUCUCCUUCUUCCUUUAUUUCUUUAUUUGGAUUGUGGUUUAUUUUUCUUCUUUUUUUUCUGCUAGGUUUUCACCUGUUUACAAAGGGGCUCUUCUGUCCUUCUGCUUUGCACCUUCACUUCUGGUUUUCUCUUCAUGGUUUUUUUUUUGGUUCUGAUUUUUUGCUCACUCUGCUCUUAGUUUUUUCUACUAAUUAAAUUGAUUGUUUUGAUUUAUGGAAAAAGAAGAGAAAGCUCAAUAGAGAAUCUUUUUAGUAUAUUCCAUUCAAUAUCAGAAUAUCUAAACCAAGUUGUAAAUUGCAGUGUGACAAUAAUUUUUAUAAAUAUUUCUAUAAAUUUGUCAUAAUCAAGUGAUAAUACCCUUUGAGUUUGGAAAUGGGAGCUUAGAAGAUAGGUCAUGAAUCUAGGUCGAUAUUGAGACUAUUACGCCUACUCAUGUUUUUAAUGUUGAUGAUUUCACUAGUGCAUUUAAUUUGAAGUGGUUUGAGGCUAACAAAACAGAAUCUAUUGGUGUUGAUGUUGUUGGUGUGCUAACAUUGGCAAAUGCUUGCAAGGACCAUAGCCUCCCCAUGUGAAUUAUGCCUUUAGUGACAAUUUUAAACAUAAACCAAAUUCUAAUGAUUCUUUCUACUCUAAAACCCAAGUCAAGGCCAGUUCCAAAAAGUAAAGUAUACAAUCUUGGUUAGAUGAUUAGAUGUCCGAUGUAUUUGGUGCAUCAGGACUUGAUUGAUUUUUAUAAUCAGUAUAUAUUGUGAGUGAAUUUGUCUUUGACCCUUUUAAAAUUUUUGUGUUAGGUUGAAGAGCUUCUAAAGGAUUAUGAUUUAUGAAAAUGUAUGAACCCUCAAAAUUUAAUUUCCAAUAUCCUCUGAACUUAGCAAUUCACACAACUUUAUCACUAAGAUGACAAGAUCAGAUAAAGUGGCUAAAGUAUCAUUAUAUCUUGCCUAUCAAAACAAAGAGGGUCACUAGAGUUGAGUUGAACAAGAGACUCAGGCACAAAGAACAACAGAAAAAAGAAGCAGAAGCUAAGAAGUUGGAGGACUUGUCGAAAGAAAUUGACAGCAUACCUGAAAUUACGGAGGAAAUCAAGCAAGAAGAUGAGGAAAAGCAGAAGAAUAUGCUAAGAUAGGUUAAAGGCACGGCCACCACGCUUAGGAAAGCACAAGUAAGUAGGCUUUCUAUUUAUUUUAAUUUGCCAUCAAAAUCUUAGUUAUUCGAAUGAGAGAACAUGCUAAGAGUACUUCAGUGGUUUUGACCUAACACAUAUUAUUCCAUACACAAUUCUUUGUGAGUGUAUAUUUAUCACAAUUCGUUAAUAAGUUUGAGCCUGCUCCCCUUCAAGUUCUCCUAGUCGACGGAAUAAAUGGAUCCAUCCAGAAGCUUAAGGUAAGCUUGUAAAAAUUCUCUUGCUUACCUUUUGUUAUCUGUUUUCUGAGUUUUUAAAACAUCCAAGUAACUUUUCAAUUUCCAUGACAUAUAUGUUGGGUUGUUGUACCCUUAUAAAGGAUCGAUAUAAAAGUUUAGAGAAGAGAGGAUUGAUUGUUCCAACAUCCAAAACAUGCAAGAGGAAGUAGUUUACUGCUCUAACAUUAUAUGAAACAUGUCAUCAUCAAAUCAUUUUUGCAUAUAGUUCAUACAUCUAUAUUUUAACCGUUUGAUAUGACACAUUUAAAAUUUGUAUGACAUUGUGUUUGUGGCUUUGGCAGGAAGUAGAGUCCUCUUGAUUGUUGGUUCCAUAACCAAGCAUUGACGCCAGAGAUGAAAGACCAAUACAAUUUUAUCUAAAUCAAGAUUUUGUUUUCUUGUGUUUGUUUCAUUUAUACUCCUAGCUAGUCACAUGUUCAGUGAGCAUUACACACUCCUUUGUGCAAUUUAGAAACAAAGAUCAAUAUCAGCAUGAAAUAUCUCCUUAACUCUUCACUUUUUGCAUUCAAUCUCAGCUGCCUAUCCGCUAGGGAAGACCAUUAUCAAAAUGACAAAAUACGCAUUUUACUUCUGGCAUUUUGGUUCGGAGAUAUCAUUGUCUUGAACUCUUGAUUUGUUAUUAAUUUACUCUUGUGAUAUUUUAGCCAUCUUUAGGUUGCUUUAUUUUUGGGUUUGUUUGGAUGUAGAAGCAAUUGAGCAGCUUUGUAAGACCAACAUUUUUUUAAUUUAAUUGUGAAAAUUGUGGGGGUUAUA